rnacentral:rRNA from 1 species
AGAGUUUGAUCCUGGCUCAGGAUGAACGCUAGCUACAGGCUUAACACAUGCAAGUCGAGGGGAAACGACAUCGAAAGCUUGCUUUUGAUGGGCGUCGACCGGCGCACGGGUGAGUAACGCGUAUCCAACCUGCCCACCACUUGGGGAUAGCCUUGCGAAAGUAAGACUAAUACCCAAUGACGUCUCUAGAAGACAUCUGAAAGAGAUUAAAGAUUUAUCGGUGAUGGAUGGGGAUGCGUCUGAUUAGCUUGUUGGCGGGGUAACGGCCACCAGGCGACGAUCAGUAGGGGUUCGUGAGAGGAACGGUCCCCCACCAUUGGACUGAGACACGGUCCAAACUCCGUACGGGAGGCGA